GGUUAUUCCUGAACUGUCUUGCCCAAUUGCCCUUUUUUCAUACUAUAACCCAAUUCUUAAGCGUGGCAUUGGGAACUUCAUGAUGACAAUAAAAGAUGCUGGUGUACGAGGGCUUGUUGUUCCGGAUGUUCCUCUUGAGGAGACUGAAAUUUUGAGAAAAGAAGCUGUAAAGCACAAUAUUGAGCUGGUACUCUUAACUACACCAACCACGCCUAAAGAUAGGAUGAAAGCCAUCGUUGAAGCUUCAGAGGGAUUUGUAUAUCUUGUGAGCUCUGUUGGAGUUACUG
rnacentral:misc_RNA from 1 species